UACGCAGGGGGCUAGCGUUGUUCGGAAUUACUGGGCGUAAAGCGCACGUAGGCGGAUUGUUAAGUCGGGGGUGAAAUCCUGAGGCUCAACCUCAGAACUGCCUUCGAUACUGGAAAGCUCGAGUCCGGGAGAGGUGAGUGGAACUGCGAGUGUAGAGGUGAAAUUCGUAGAUAUUCGCAAGAACACCAGUGGCGAAGGCGGCUCACUGGCCCGGUACUGACGCUGAGGUGCGAAAGCGUGGGGAGCAAACAGG
rnacentral:rRNA from 1 species